AAGAGUUGAAAGACAUGGGUAGUGAGACGUUAAAUUUAAAAAUUCGUAUCACUAUUCUGUUUUUCACCUUUUU
rfam:Dracunculus medinensis genome assembly, scaffold: DME_scaffold0000016